rnacentral:lncRNA from 1 species
UUUGUUUCAGUUUUUUGUUUUGUUUUGUUUUUUUUUGUUUUUUUUUUUUGUUUUGCUUGUUUUAAACUUUCGAUUUAUUUAAUAUGAAAUUGUUGGCAAAUUUGUGCUCCAAUUGCAUUUAAUUUCUUCUUUUUUUUUGUUUCAAAGUUUUCAUUUCAUUUAAUUUUUUUUAAUGAGCAUGCAUUUCUAUUUUUGUCUUUAUAAUGAUAUAAUUUUUUAUUUUAUUUUAUUUUAAUGUGUAAUUCUUUUAUUUAUUAUGUGUAAUUUUUUUGCAAGCAACCGACACAAGCUUGUUUGCUAAAUUAUUUGUAGUUUUAUUAAUUAUUUUAUUUUAGUUUUCUUAUCUAUAUAUACUUCAAGUUCUCAGUAUUGCAUACCAUAACUUAUCUUCUCUUCUUUGUGUUUAUUUCUUGAUUCUAUUUUUCUUUCAAAAUGUCGAACUCACCAAAUCAAGAUCAAAUAAAAGAAAUGCUUAAGAAUUGGAUUCGUGAAACAACGAAAUAUGAUAUAGAACGAGAGAUGAUUGCUAUUGCUGAUGAAGAAGAUGCAGAAACAAC